GACGUCGAAUGCUACGUUUGCAACGAAACCUGUCACUGUCCAAAACUGAAGUACGAUCCAGGACAGAAAAAUAUCAAAAACACAUUCGUUAUUGUGUCUGGAUUAGUGACUGGAAACAUUUAUCAAUUCAAGAUCUCUCCUCGAGAUAUCCUAAGCUCGGUCAUUCCAAAACAAUUCAAUAAAUUCAUCCUAAGUGAAAUUUACACCGCAAAAAACAAUAAUGAUGAACCAAUGCCCCAAUCAAGCAGCAAUUCAAACAAAUACAUGAUAAUAAUUGUCAGUGUUGGUUGUUUGUUUCUCAUCCUGAUUGUUGUCAUUUUCUUCAUUUUUAUU